rnacentral:misc_RNA from 1 species
CAACCCUCAAGCCCAGCUUGGUAUUGGGUGCCACCGGCAUGGUGCACCCUAAAAUCAGUGGCGGUGCCAUCUGGCUUCAAGCGUAGUAAUUCUUCUCGCUUUGGAAAAGAUGUGACGCUGCCAACAACCCCUAAUACUUCAA